rnacentral:rRNA from 1 species
AGUCUUUUGGUGUUUUAAUUAAAGAUAUUUUCUGCUCGGUGAGUUUAAACAGCCGCGGUAAUUUGACCGUGCAAAGGUAGCGUAAUCAUUUGCUUCAUAAUUGGGGGCUAGAAUGAAUGGAAUGACAAGACUUAUACUUUAUUUAGAGGAUGUGUGGAAUUUGCUUUUUUAGUGAAGAGGCUAAAAUUUUUUAGUGGGACAAGAAGACCCUUUUGAGCUUUAUUAGUUUUUUUUCUUUUUGAUUUUUAUUAAUUUGGUUGGGGCGACCGUGGAAGUAGUGUUUUCUUCCUUUAAAAAUAUUGAUCCAGUGGUAUUGAUUGAUAGAAUAAGUUACCAAAGGGAUAACAGCGUAAUUUUUUUUGUGAGUUCUUAUUAAAGAAAAAGAUUGCGACCUCGAUGUUGACUUAUGGUUUCCAUUUGGUGUAGCUGCUUAAGUGGUGGGUCUGUUCGACCUUUAAAGCCUU